GCCAGGCGCGUUGGCGCAUGCCUGUAAUCCCAGCAUCUUGGGAGGCUGAGACAGGAGGAUUAUGAGUUCAAAGCCAGCCUCAGCAACAGCGAGACACUAAGCAACUCAGUGAGACCCUAUCUCUA
rnacentral:sRNA from 1 species